rnacentral:rRNA from 1 species
ACGGGUGAGUAACACGUGGGAACCUUCCUAGAGGUACGGAACAACUCAGGGAAACUUGAGCUAAUACCGUAUACGCUCUUGCGAGGAAAGAUUUAUCGCCUUUAGACGGGCCCGCGUAGGAUUAGGUAGUUGGUGGGGUAACGGCCUACCAAGCCUACGAUCCUUAGCUGAUCUGAGAGGAUGAUCAGCCACACUGGGACUGAGACACGGCCCAGACUCCUACGGGAGGCAGCAGUGGGGAAUCUUGGACAAUGGGCGCAAGCCUGAUCCAGCCAUGCCGCGUGAGUGAAGAAGGCCUUCGGGUUGUAAAGCUCUUUUGUCAGGGACGAUAAUGACGGUACCUGAAGAAUAAGCCCCGGCAAACUUCGUGCCAGCAGCCGCGGUAAUACGAAGGGGGCUAGCGUUGUUCGGAAUUACUGGGCGUAAAGCGCACGUAGGCUGAUACUUAAGUGAGGGGUGAAAUCCCGAGGCUCAACCUCGGAACUGCCUUUCAUACUGGGUAUCUGGAGUCCGGAAGAGGUUAGUGGAAUUCCCAGUGUAGAGGUGAAAUUCGUAGA